AACUGAAAAAACAAAAAAGAAGAAAAGGAUAGGCCCUGCUACUAUCCCACAACGAAACAUCAUAAAACCUUUAUCCUGAUUAUAGUGUUAAGCAGUUCAAAUUCUCCUAAAAAGUAAUACCUACAUUUAUCUAAGCGAUUUCAUUUUAAACCUGCAAACAAGCUUCACAAUGGCUGUCCUCUAGUUGAUUUACAUACCUUAUGCAUUCAUGCAUUGUCAAUUUCAACAAGUUCUGUCGAAGCUACCGGUCCUGCAAAAGUAGCUCCAAAAAAAAACAAAUCUUUGCAUUGAAAUAUCACAAGCUGAACUAGGCUCAAUAAAACCUUAACAAUCUUGGAUAGAGCAAUUUGAGAUGUAAUGCCAACAAAGCCAAUCCAUUGCAGAAAAUCACCAAAUGCCUGUAUGCAUACUUCCGAAAGAAAACUGUUGUAAAAUAUUCAUUGUUGAUAGCCACAUAAAGAAGGCCAAGAAAAUGCAAAUGAAUAUCACUGAAACAAACAAAAUUAAGUCUCACAAAAUUACAUAAACUUGCUUAAGUUGUUAGUUGUUUUUGCUACCAAUCAAGUGAUGAAGAAGCACACCUGCUGCAACACUUACAUUCAAGCUCUCCACAGCCAUAAAGGAUCUAAAGUUCUGACCUAAAAUACUAUUAUCACUCUCAGCAUCCUCAUCUUCUGCAGCGAUUAUAUCCAAAGGGAUAUUUCCCGGAAUUCCAACUAAUUCAGUACAUGACCUCUCCACCAAUGGUCUCAGACCAGUCCCUUCACUUCCCAAAACAAGGAUUGUAGGAGCACCAGGCACAAUCUUAUGCAAUGGAACAGCUCUUGAAGAAACAGAACCACCUAGGACACGCCAUCCAUUUUCUGCCGAAGACGUUAGGAACUGCAUCAUAUUCUUGCA
rnacentral:misc_RNA from 1 species